AUUGAACGCUGGCGGCAUGCCUUACACAUGCAAGUCGAACGGUAACGGGUCCUUCGGGAUGCCGACGAGUGGCGAACGGGUGAGUAAUAUAUCGGAACGUGCCCAGUAGUGGGGGAUAACUGCUCGAAAGAGCAGCUAAUACCGCAUACGACCUGAGGGUGAAAGGGGGGGAUCGCAAGACCUCUCGCUAUUGGAGCGGCCGAUAUCAGAUUAGCUAGUUGGUGGGGCAAAGGCCUACCAAGGCAACGAUCUGUAGUUGGUCUGAGAGGACGACCAGCCACACUGGGACUGAGACACGGCCCAGACUCCUACGGGAGGCAGCAGUGGGGAAUUUUGGACAAUGGGCGCAAGCCUGAUCCAGCAAUGCCGCGUGCAGGAAGAAGGCCUUCGGGUUGUAAACUGCUUUUGUCAGGGAAGAAAUCUUCUGGGCUAAUACCCCGGGAGGAUGACGGUACCUGAAGAAUAAGCACCGGCUAACUACGUGCCAGCAGCCGCGGUAAUACGUAGGGUGCGAGCGUUAAUCGGAAUUACUGGGCGUAAAGCGUGCGCAGGCGGCUUUGCAAGACAGAUGUGAAAUCCCCGGGCUCAACCUGGGAACUGCAUUUGUGACUGCAAGGCUAGAGUACGGCAGAGGGGGAUGGAAUUCCGCGUGUAGCAGUGAAAUGCGUAGAUAUGCGGAGGAACACCAAUGGCGAAGGCAAUCCCCUGGGCCUGUACUGACGCUCAUGCACGAAAGCGUGGGGAGCAAACAGGAUUAGAUACCCUGGUAGUCCACGCCCUAAACGAUGUCAACUGGUUGUUGGACGGCUUGCUGUUCAGUAACGAAGCUAACGCGUGAAGUUGACCGCCUGGGGAGUACGGCCGCAAGGUUGAAACUCAAAGGAGUUGACGGGGACCCGCACAAGCGGUGGAUGAUGUGGUUUAAUUCGAUGCAACGCGAAAAACCUUACCUACCCUUGACAUGUCAAGAGUUCUGCAGAGAUGUGGAAGUGCUCGAAAGAGAACUUGAACACAGGUGCUGCAUGGCCGUCGUCAGCUCGUGUCGUGAGAUGUUGGGUUAAGUCCCGCAACGAGCGCAACCCUUGUCAUUAGUUGCUACGCAAGAGCACUCUAAUGAGACUGCCGGUGACAAACCGGAGGAAGGUGGGGAUGACGUCAGGUCCUCAUGGCCCUUAUGGGUAGGGCUACACACGUCAUACAAUGGCCGGUACAGAGGGCUGCCAACCCGCGAGGGGGAGCCAAUCCCAGAAAACCGGUCGUAGUCCGGAUCGUAGUCUGCAACUCGACUGCGUGAAGUCGGAAUCGCUAGUAAUCGCGGAUCAGCUUGCCGCGGUGAAUACGUUCCCGGGUCU
rnacentral:rRNA from 1 species